UAGGGUUUGAUCCUGGCUCAGAACGAACGCUGGCGGCGUGGAUAAGACAUGCAAGUCGAACGGAACAUUAUGAGUAGCAAUACGAGUGGUGUUUAGUGGCGAACGGGUGCGUAACACGUGGAUACAUUCCGGGAAGCGGGGGAUAGCCCAGGGAAACUUGGAUUAAUACCGCAUGUGAUCGAAAGAUCAAAGACGGGGACCGCAAGGCCUGUCACUUCCCGAUUGGUCCGCGGCCUAUCAGCUAGUUGGCGGGGUAAAAGCCCACCAAGGCUACGACGGGUAGCUGGUCUUAGAGGACGACCAGCCACACUGGAACUGAGACACGGUCCAGACACCUACGGGUGGCAGCAGUCGAGAAUCUUUCACAAUGGGGGCAACCCUGAUGGAGCGACGCCGCGUGGAGGAUAAGGUCUUCGGAUUGUAAACUCCUGUCAUGCGCGAACAAGGUUGCAGGGAUAAUACCUUUGCAAAUUGAUGGUACCGCAAGAGGAAGAGACGGCUAACUCUGUGCCAGCAGCCGCGGUAAUACAGAGGUCUCAAGCGUUGUUCGGAAUCACCGGGCGUAAAGGGUGCGUAGGUGGCGUGGUAAGUCAGACGUGAAAGCCCGGGGCUCAACCUCGGAACUGCAUCCGAUACUACCAUGCUAGAGUACUGAAGAGGAAACUAGAAUUCUCGGUGUAGCAGUGAAAUGCGUAGAUAUCGAGAGGAAUACCAAAGGCGAAGGCAGGUUUCUUGGCAGUUACUGACACUGAGGCACGAAGGCCAGGGGAGCGAACGGGAUUAGAUACCCCGGUAGUCCUGGCAGUAAACGGUGUACACUUGGUGUGGGGGGAUUCGACCCCUUCCGCGCCGGAGCUAACGCGUUAAGUGUACCGCCUGGGAAGUACGGUCGCAAGAUUAAAACUCAAAGAAAUUGACGGGGACCCGCACAAGCGGUGGAGUAUGUGGCUUAAUUCGAUGCAACGCGAAGAACCUUACCUGGUCUUGACAUGCAUUCUGUCGUUUAUGAAAGUAAGCUAGGUUAGCAAUAACCGGUUUGCACAGGUGCUGCAUGGCUGUCGUCAGCUCGUGUCGUGAGAUGUUGGGUCAAGUCCCGCAACGAGCGCAACCCUUGUCCCCAGUAGCCAGCACGCAAAGGUGGGCACUCUGGGGAGACCGCCAGGGACAACCUGGAGGAAGACGGGGAUGACGUCAAAUCAUCAUGCCCCUUAUGAUUUGGGCUACACACGUGCUACAAUGGCGUCCGACAGAGGGAAGCGAACCCGCGAGGGCCGGCAAAUCCCAAAAACGGCGUCCCAGUUCGGACUGGAGGCUGCAACCCGCCUCCACGAAGCUGGAAUCGCUAGCAAUCGCGGAUCAGAACGCCGCGGUGAAUACGUUCCCGGGUCUUGUACACACCGCCCGUCACACCAUGGGAGUCUGCAACACCCGAAGUCAGUGGCCCAACCGCAAGGGGGGAGCUGCCGAAGGUGGGGCCGAUAACUGGGGUGAAGUCGUAACAAGGUAACC
rnacentral:rRNA from 1 species